AGAGUUUGAUCAUGGCUCAGGAUGAACGCUGGCGGCGUGCUUAACACAUGCAAGUCGAACGAAGCACUUUAUUAUGAUUUCUUCGGAAUGACGAUUUAGUGACUGAGUGGCGGACGGGUGAGUAACGCGUGGGUAACCUGCCUUAUACAGGGGGGAUAACAGUUAGAAAUGACUGCUAAUACCGCAUAAGCGCACAGGAUUGCAUGAUCUGGUGUGAAAAACUCCGGUGGUAUAAGAUCGG
rnacentral:rRNA from 1 species